rnacentral:rRNA from 1 species
GACGAACGCUGGCGGCGUGCUUAACACAUGCAAGUCGAACGGUAAGGCCUCUUCGGGGGUACACGAGUGGCGAACGGGUGAGUAACACGUGGGUGACCUGCCCCUUACUUCGGGAUAAGCCUGGGAAACUGGGUCUAAUACCGGAUAUGACUUCAUGCUGCAUGGUGUGGGGUGGAAAGUUUUUUCGGUGGGGGAUGGGCCCGCGGCCUAUCAGCUUGUUGGUGGGGUGAUGGCCUACCAAGGCUUCGACGGGUAGCCGGCCUGAGAGGGCGUCCGGCCACACUGGGACUGAGACACGGCCCAGACUCCUACGGGAGGAAGCAGUGGGGAAUAUUGCGCAAUGGGCGGAAGCCUGACGCAGCGACGCCGCGUGGGGGAUGACGGCCUUCGGGUUGUAAACCUCUUUCGACCUCGACGAAGCCUUUGGGUGACGGUAGGGGUGGAAGAAGCACCGGCCAACUACGUGCCAGCAGCCGCCGUAA